rnacentral:rRNA from 1 species
CAGGACGAACGCUGGCGGCGUGCCUAAUACAUGCAAGUCGAACGGUCUUUCUAUGGAAGCUUGCUUCCACUGAAAGGAUAGUGGCGAACGGGUGAGUAACACGUGGGUAACCUGCCCAUAAGAGGGGGAUAACAUCCGGAAACGGGUGCUAAUACCGCAUAGUUUUCUUGAUCGCAUGAUCGGGAAAGGAAAGACGGCCUUUGUGCUGUCGCUUAUGGAUGGACCCGCGGCGUAUUAGUUAGUUGGUGAGGUAACGGCUCACCAAGACGAUGAUACGUAGCCGACCUGAGAGGGUGAUCGGCCACAUUGGGACUGAGACACGGCCCAAACUCCUACGGGAGGCAGCAGUAGGGAAUCUUCCGCAAUGGACGAAAGUCUGACGGAGCAACGCCGCGUGAGUGAAGAAAAGGUUUUCGGAUCGUAAAACUCUGUUGUCAGAGAAGAACAAGUUGGAGAGUAACUGCUCCAGCCUUGACGGUAUCUGACCAGAAAGCCACGGCUAACUACGUGCCAGCAGCGGC